rnacentral:snoRNA from 1 species
UCGCUCUUCAAAAGCACUGGUGAUCGGACUCAUUCUUGUCCACGCCAGCCGUCAAAACUGAGCAAUAAGAACUAUCUUGUUUUUGGGUGAGGUGUAAUUGUCUUUAAAUUAGAUCUCAAUAACACGAUGACAAUU